rnacentral:lncRNA from 1 species
AGAGAGGUUGGAUGGGAUUUCAAAAAAUAGGGGCAAAGAGGGAGAAGGGUUUGUGGGUUCGAGAGGGCAUUUCGUCUAGAACCAAGCAAUGGCUCAGAUUCUGAAUUCCAAGAUAAUGGGUGCAUCAUCGAUUGCGAUUUCAAGGGUUUUGGUUCGUUGAAUUUGCUUCACUCUACCUCUUCUAAUUUAAAUAUUCCCAUUAAGC